rnacentral:rRNA from 1 species
GUAGUCCACGCCCUAAACGAUGUCAACUAGGUGUUGGGAGGGUAAAACCUUUUAGUACCGGAGCUAACGCGUGAAGUUGACCGCCUGGGGAGUACGGCCGCAAGGUUAAAACUCAAAGGAAUUGACGGGGACCCGCACAAGCGGUGGAUGAUGUGGAUUAAUUCGAUGCAACGCGAAAAACCUUACCUACCCUUGACAUGUCAGGAAGUCUUGAGAGAUUGAGAUGUGCCCGAAAGGGAACCUGAACACAGGUGCUGCAUGGCUGUCGUCAGCUCGUGUCGUGAGAUGUUGGGUUAAGUCCCGCAACGAGCGCAACCCUUGUCGUUAAUUGCCAUCAUUUAGUUGGGCACUUUAACGAGACUGCCGGUGACAAACCGGA